AUUGAACGCUGGCGGCAGGCCUAACACAUGCAAGUCGAACGGUAACAGGAAGUAGCUUGCUACUUUGCUGACGAGUGGCGGACGGGUGAGUAAUGUCUGGGGAUCUGCCUGAUGGAGGGGGAUAACUACUGGAAACGGUAGCUAAUACCGCAUAAUGUCGCAAGACCAAAGCGGGGGACUUUCGAGCCUCGCACCAUCAGAUGAACCCAGAUGGGAUUAGCUAGUAGGUAAUGGCUUACCUAGGCGACGAUCCCUAGCUGGUCUGAGAGGAUGACCAGCCGCACUGGAACUGGGACACGGUCCAGACUCCUACGGGAGGCAGCAGUGGGGAAUAUUGCACAAUGGGCGCAAGCCUGAUGCAGCCAUGCCGCGUGUAUGAAGAAGGCCUUCGGGUUGUAAAGUACUUUCAGUCAGGAGGAAGGGUGUGAAAUUAAUACUUUCAUGCAUUGACGUUACUGACAGAAGAAGCACCGGCUAACUCCGUGCCAGCAGCCGCCGUAA
rnacentral:rRNA from 1 species